UACGAAGGGGGCUAGCGUUGUUCGGAAUUACUGGGCGUAAAGCGCACGUAGGCGGAAUGUUAAGUCAGGGGUGAAAUCCCGGGGCUCAACCCCGGAACUGCCUUUGAUACUGGCAUUCUCGAGUCCGGAAGAGGUGAGUGGAAUUCCGAGUGUAGAGGUGAAAUUCGUAGAUAUUCGCAAGAACACCAGUGGCGAAGGCGGCUCACUGGCCCGAUACUGACGCUGAGGUGCGAAAGCGUGGGGAGCAAACAGG
rnacentral:rRNA from 1 species